rnacentral:rRNA from 1 species
UACGGAGGAUCCAAGCGUUAUCCGGAUUCAUUGGGUUUAAAGGGUCCGCAGGCGGUCAAUUAAGUCAGAGGUGAAAUCCCAUAGCUUAACUAUGGAACUGCCUUUGAUACUGGUUGACUUGAGUUAUACGGAAGUAGAUAGAAUGUGUAGUGUAGCGGUGAAAUGCAUAGAUAUUACACAGAAUACCGAUUGCGAAGGCAGUCUACUACGUAUAUACUGACGCUCAUGGACGAAAGCGUGGGGAGCGAACAGG